AUCCAUCAGCUAGAAGCCAGAACGGGUGAGAUGUACACAUGACACAAAGUGGAAAGUGGGAGCUUCAAUUGUGAUUACCUAUUUUGAAAUGUGGAAAUGGUGGUAAAAAUGAGCUUCUCACCUUCGAUGUCACAUAUUCAGGGAUUCACCCAGCAUUCCCUAGAGAGAAGGCUUCUCCUCUCUCAUGGUCGCCAGGACCAGCUGGAACAACCAGUGCUCUGGCUGAAGACCUCUACAGGUAGACAGGCGGCAAGAUACUGCUGGGGCCCACUUUCUUCAUCAUUUUCUGGUGAUGGUUUACUUCAUGUAGAUGAGUUCAUUCUUGGCAUAAAUGCAAAAGCAUUUCAGUUAAGAAUUGAUAAUAUUUUUAAACAGCUGGUAGUAGAACAAUUGAAUAUCCAUAAAUGGAUGACUUUGUUUUCUGUUGCUUAUAACCAAAUUCCUGAAACAGGGUAGUUUAUAAUGAAAGGAAUUUGUUUCUUACAUUUACAGAGGCCGGGAAGUUCAAAGUCCAGGGGGUGCAUCUGGAGAGAGCAUUCUUACUGGUGGGGACUCUGCUGCAUCCUGAGGCUGUGCAGGGCGUGAUAUUGCAAGGCAGCUAAGCAUAUUAACAUGAUACAGUGCUAGCUCAGGGCUGAGUGUGCUACCAUGCUAGCUUAGCUUGGAUCCUUCUUCCUCUUCUUAUAAGGUCACACACUGCACUCCCAUGGUAACUCAUUAGUCCAUUAACCCACUAAUAGACUAAUCCAUUAAAUAGAUCAAUCUACUCAUGAAAGUAGCUCCCUCAUGAUCCAAUCACCUCAUAAAGACUGUCACAUUGGAAGUUAAGUUUCAAUAUGAACUAUGGAGUGGACGUUAAACCACCACAUUCCACCCUUUGCUCCCCAAAGCUCAUGUCUUUCCCACAUUCAUUCCCUCUCCAUAAAGUCAGUCUUAACAUAUUCUCGCACCAACUCAGAAGUCAAAGACUCAUCUGUGAAUCUCUGAAAUCAAAAUAAUGUAUCUAGAUUCCAAGAUACAGUAAUAGAAAAAGGAUAGGGUUGUUUUCCAUUCCAAGAGGGAGAAAAAGGCAAGAAGAAAGGGGUACCAGUUUUAAAACAAGUCGGAAGCACCCUGUCCCAGGACCCUCAAAGCCUUGGGUAUUCCUACUCAUUUAAAUGUGCUGGCCUCAGUCCGCUCAGCUCUUCCAGGCUGGUACUGGAUACUGGCUGCUCUACAG
rnacentral:lncRNA from 10 species